CAGCACCUCAAGUGGUCAGGAUGAUUAUUGGGCCUAAAGCAUCCGUAGCCGGCGCUGUAAGUUUUCGGUUAAAUCUGUACGCUCAACGUACAGGCUGCCGGGAAUACUGCAGCGCUAGGGAGUGGGAGAGGUAGACGGUACUCGGUAGGAAGGGGUAAAAUCCUUUGAUCUAUUGAUGACCACCUGUGGCGAAGGCGGUCUACCAGAACACGUCCGACGGUGAGGGAUGAAAGCUUGGGGAGCAAACCGGAUUAGAUACCCGAGUAGUCC
rnacentral:rRNA from 1 species